rnacentral:rRNA from 1 species
GAAACCGGAGCUAAUACCGGAUGACACAAAGGAACUCCUGUUCCUUUGUUGAAAGAUGGCUUCGGCUAUCACUUAUAGAUGGGCCCGCGGCGCAUUAGCUAGUUGGUGAGGUAACGGCUCACCAAGGCGACGAUGCGUAGCCGACCUGAGAGGGUGAUCGGCCACACUGGGACUGAGACACGGCCCAGACUCCUACGGGAGGCAGCAGUAGGGAAUCUUCCGCAAUGGACGAAAGUCUGACGGAGCAACGCCGCGUGAACGAUGAAGGCCUUCGGGUCGUAAAGUUCUGUUGUUAGGGAAGAACAAGUGCUAGUUGAAUAAGCUGGCACCUUGA